ACUCCUACGGGAGGCAGCAGUGAGGAAUAUUGGUCAAUGGAGGGAACUCUGAACCAGCCAUCCCGCGUGUAGGAAGACGGCCUUAUGGGUUGUAAACUACUUUUAUACAGGAAGAAACGUACCCUCGUGAGGGUGCCUGACGGUACUGUAGGAAUAAGCACCGGCUAACUCCGUGCCAGCAGCCGCGGUAAUACGGAGGGGUGCGAGCGUUAUCCGGAUUUAUUGGGGUUUAAAGGGUCCGUAGGCGGAUUAAUAAGUCAGUGGUGAAAUCCCAUCGCUUAACGAUGGAACUGCCAUUGAUACUGUUAGUCUUGAAUGAGGGUGCAGUGGUUGGAAUGUGUAGUGUAGCGGUGAAAUGCAUAGAUAUUACACAGAACACCGAUUGCGAAGGCAGAUCACUAACCCUAAAUUGACGCUGAGGGACGAAAGCGUGGGGAGCGAACAGGAUUAGAUACCCUGGUAGGAUAGCG
rnacentral:rRNA from 1 species